rnacentral:rRNA from 1 species
UACGAAGGUGGCAAGCGUUGUUCGGAUUUACUGGGCGUACAGGGAGCGUAGGCGGUUCGGUAAGCCCUCUGUGAAAUCUCCAGGCUUAACCUGGGAACAGUCGGAGGGGACUGCCGGGCUAGAGGACGGGGAGAGGAGCGCGGAAGUUCCCGGUGUAGCGUGGAAAUGCGUAGAGAUCGGGGAGGAAGGCCGGUGGCGAAGGCGGCGCUCUGGAACGUUUCUGACGCUGAGGCUCGAAAGCGUGGGGGAGCAAACAGGG